AGCCUGUACAGUGACAACUGACCGAAUCCUUUCCCAGUACACAGAUCUGGAGCUGGCUCUCAUCAUCGUCGUAGCUAUACUCAUUUUACUGCUUAUCAUCAUGAUAGUGCUGGUCCUUAUACUCCAUCUGAGGAAACAGAAGCAAAAGGAAGGCCGAUUAGUAAAAGGGGAACUUAACGAUGGUCAUGAUACGAUGGUCCGAGGGCAGCAUAUGGGACUGACGAAAAUGUGAGAGACACUCAAGAACUCUAACUUCAGCUUCAUUCCAAGUGUUUCCCAUGGAUUUGCUCAACACUUGUUGGAUCGCCUUCUGAGAACAAAAAACCAUAGAAAUCAAUGAACAUUUAAAAACUGAUGUUUAGGUUAUGCUCUUAGCUUUGUUGGAUGAAGCAGAUUUUUUGCUCUUUUUUUUCAAUGCUGAAAGUGAUUUUGUUGCCAUACAUGUACAGGGAUGAGAUUGUUGGCAAUUCAUUUGUGGAAAGGGAUUCAUAAAAAACCUAAGGAUUCAGAAGUCAAAAAUGUGACUUUGUCUUCCUGUCCCUAUCAUCUAGAUGUUUGAAAAUGUUUGAUAUGUUGAUUCACAAAGUGAU